rnacentral:rRNA from 1 species
AUGGCCGAAUGCUUCAAUAGGGUGCUCAAAGGUGCACGUGCAUUACCCGUGACGGCAAUAGUUCAAUACACAUUUGACAAGAUGAAUGCGUACUUUCUAAAGUACUCAAUGGAAACAGACAGAUAGCGGGUUAACAAGCGCAAGUACAACUAUAAGUUCCCACCCAAAGUUGAUGAAUGGUUGGAAUUUCAAUCACGGAAGGCAGACUCACAAGAAGCUAUACUAUAUGACAAUGAAGAUUGGAAGUACGAAGUGAAAGAGCCAAGAGGAACCACAAACAAUGGCCGCCAACAUGGAGGUCGGGCUUUCAAGGUCUCAUUAACAUGGUGUGAUUGCUCUUGCGGGAGGCCAUUGUUACUUCAUCUCCCAUGCUCACACUUGUAUACCACUGGUCGCAUUAGGAAUGUGGACGUCAAUCACCCCCUCACCGUGAGGGAGUCGGAGUUCUCAAUCAUGACGGUCAAGAAUACAUGGGCUCCCCGCUUUCACCCAUACUUUGACCAAUCACAAUGGCCGGAGUACCAAGGACUUCAACUAUGGCCGAAUCCGGAGUUGAAGGUUGUUAAACGGGGUAGACGUAAGACAAAGCGUCUUCGAGGCAACAUGGACGGAUGGGGCAAUGGUGGCCGCCGCGAAUCGGGCAACGACCAAUUCCAAGAGCCUCAUGAGAGCUCCCAUUGUGGGAAAUGCAAAGGUCAUGGCCACAACAAUAGAAAAUGUACCAAACCAAGAAAGAGGUCAAGGACAAAUGAUGCAAGCACAAGACAACAAGGAGGUACACACGGUAGCCAACCAAGUGGUAGCCAACAAGUGCCAAGGCAAACAAGUGGUAGCCAACCAAGUGGUAGCCAACAAGUGCCAAGGCAACCAAGUGGUAGCCAACAAGUGCCAAGGCAACCAAGUGGUAGGCAACAAGUGCCAAGGCAACCAAGUGGUAGCCAACAAGUGCAAACGCAACUAAGUGGUAGCCAAAGAGGAUCUAGGCAACAAAGAGGGAGGCAACUAGCACUACAAAAAAAUACACUUCCGUGA